ensembl:lncRNA
AUGGCUCCUUCCCGAUCCAAGACUCGGCGCAAAAAGUUUGGAAAAGAGAAAGUGCUGAACUGUGAGAAAAAGGCAAGCUCUCCGGGAGAUUCAAAGAUCCAUUGUGGGACACUGUGGGAAGAAAAGAGUAAAGGCCAGCUGACAGGCAAAGAGUCAUUGCCUGAACAAGAUGAAACCCUUGAACAGGACACCUUAAAAAGCCAGAGGCCGGUGAGGCCUAAGGGAAGCAAAGAAGGUGGCCACAAGAAGUUAUUCYGGGAGGAGAGAGCCUCCAAGAGAAAUGAUCAAAGAGAAUCUGCUUUUGGGAGAAAACAUGGAGAACAAUUAGUGUCCAAAGUGAAGAAAAAAGGAAAGGCCUCCAGACAACGGGAUCUGACAUCAGGACAAGAAAGUGAUGACAGUACUGGUAAGGAGGAAAAGACCACUGUAAACAGCAAGAAACAGAGUUGUACAAGGAAGUGUGGAAAGCAUCCUGUUGUUGGUGAAAAAGUCACCGAGUCAGAGUCUGUAAAGUCCUUUGCAGUGCAAAGUGUUGAAGGCUCUUUUCAGAAACAUGACUUGCCACAGAAAACACACAAUGCCAGGCCUAGGAAAAGACACAAUGAGAAUCGUGGCUCUAAGGAAGCUUCUGAGAGGAAGUCAGGUUCUCGAUUCCAAGGCAGUGCAGCACAGGGCAAAGGUGAGAGAACUGGAGGAAAGGAAAUUGGAAAACAUACCAGGAUUAUAGUCACUGAAAGCGCAGAAGAAAAGAUCCUGGAAACUUCAGAUAACUCUUGUUCUGACUGCAGCAGUGAAGCCCAUUGGACCCCUAAAAGAGGUAAAAAAAAGACUGGAGUUGACAGCACUGAAAGCAGUGAAGAGAAGAGAAGCUCUUCAGAGGAAGAUGGCAUCAAUGAGAAAGAAGCCAUGCUGGAAGAACUUCCUGCAGCUGAAGGAAAAGGCUACGAGAAGCUGCUCAAUGAAAGCAAUGAAGCAGCUAGUGUAACUGAAAGGGAGCAGGUGACCACGGAUGGAAGGAAGGAAUCUGAGGAUGAAGGCACUUACUUUGCAGGAUUAGAGGUAGAGGAGAAACUGAAGAAGCAAGAUAACAUGCCAAGACAAACAAGAUCUAUUCUAACUGAGAGCAGUGAGGAAGAUGAUGAGGCAAGUGUUUCAGGGUGCCAACUCAAAAGUUCUAACAGAGAAAAUGACAAUAAUGGAGAAGGCAAGGAAAAUAUAUUAGAAAAGGACAAGGAUCAAGACAUGUUAAAAGAUGACCAUGAUCAUUCUUACAGCAAUGGGGAGAAUAACACUGAAGUGAGCAUUGACAAAGGAAAAGAAGUAGUAGGAAGAAAACCAUUGUCUAGGGCUGUGAAAGCAAAACUCCACCACACUGACCUUAGCAAAGUACUUCAGGGAACUGAAGAAAAGAAAGUGAAUGAUGAAGGCAACACACUGGAAGAUAGCCCUUUGCUGUCCAAGCAACAAAUGACAUUGACAGAGAAAUCCAGGAGGUGUGAUGCUGCAGAACAAAGUGGAGUGGUGGGACAUAUACAGACAGACAAUUCUUCCUUAGACUGUAGCAAGCAGGAGUUAGCAGUGAUGUUUACAAACAAGUGCUCUUCUUCAUCCCAAGUCCUUCUCAAUAUGAAAAGCAAACAUAAAGAUGCUGAGAUGAAACUAUUAACAAGCUGUAAAACAAAUUCUGUCCAGAUGGCUUUGGAAACCAACCCUGACCUGAAAAAGGUUGAAAGCAUCUGUUCAAAACCUACCACUCUAGAAACCCUCAAUAUGCAUAAGGAGCCCGAAAUAGCUCAGAGUUUUGCAGAGAAAAKAUUAAAUCUUUCAAAUAUUUCAAACUGCUCCUCUAUUACAAAAAAACCAUCUGAUAGGCAGCUCCUUUGCAAGAGGAAGAAAGUUGGAAAAGUUAUUGGAAAGGUUAAACUGGGUUCAGGCCAGACUCUAGAGGCAGAAGAAGAGAAAGCAAAGGAAGAAGUGACUGCAGAUGCACCUUCUGAAAAAGCAAAUGUGCAAGAUAGGAAAGGAUCCAAGUACUUACAUACCCUUUCUACUUUCAGAAGAGUCACCAGCUGGCUCAGUCAAAAACCUGCCAAGAAAGCAAGCCUGAAAGCUCGUCUUUUGAGUGUGGCACGUGCAAUUGGUAUCUCAGGAUGGCUUCUGAAAAAAUUUGGGAAAAGGAAGAAGAGCAGCAAGCCUUUUGGGUUCAGAAGGAGAAUGGCAAUCAGGAUUGUAAGCACCACUGGGUGGGUUGGUAGGUCUGGCAAAACCUGCCCUGGUGCAGCAGGACAGCUGGGGAUGGAUGAGUUGAAUGACAAAGAAUCUUCUUGGCCAUUAGUAGAGGGGAAAGGUGGUGCUGAAACAACAGAGGAGCUGGGACAUACUGAUUUUCAUUCUGAUGGUUCCCCUCUUCAUGGAACCAGUUCCUUUCCAUACAUACGUAGCUUGGAUGAGGAGGAGAACAAUGCUGCUGAUGCCAAGUUUGCUAUAGUGUUCCCUAGAGUCCACAGCAUGGUUCAGACAAAGAGUUCCUUAUCUGGGCGCUCUGGUAGUGAUUAUUCCCUAGAGAAAGUGACAGCUCUAUCAAGCAGAAAAUCUGUGAUACCUGUGCAACAGGGUUGCAGAUUCAAAUGUGACAUUCCCAGAUCUUUGAUGGAUCAAACCCCUCAGAGAAACAGCCAACAAUAUUCCUGCAAUGAUGAAAUAUUUACAUCGACAGCAGGCAGUGCAAGACAGAUGACAUCUACCGCAACCCAGUACGGAGUGACUAGGCUUCCGAGCUCCUCACCCCAGCAGAUCAAAACUCCUGAGGGAGCUUCCACAUCCCAGUUCUUCACCACUGGGCAAGACUUGCAGUCUCACCACAAAGACACUAAACUCUCCCUUUCUUCAGAAGCAUCUGGAAAUUACUGUUAUGCUCUGGGCUUCCUUCCACAGCAAGAAGAGGAUCCAAGGUAUAUAGCAGAUUAUUCCAGUGAGGUAGAUGUCAAAGAGAGUUCAGGUGUCCUUCAGACUGCAGGGUCAAAAGUCACAUCUUGUAUUCACUGGUCUCAGCAGCAGGCUCAGGGACAUGAUCCUGCAGCAUGGCUGAACUCUGAAUUGCUGCUCCCACGACUCACCAUUGAGAACCUAAGCAAAUGGACCAUUUACAAGGACCCACAUCUGUCAAACAGCUGUGGGAUGAAGGACUUCAAGGAUCAGUGGGAAGCAGAAGAUAUUACUGAGGAUAUGCUAGAGGUGGAUUUAAUGCAGAAACAGGUACAGGUGAUGUCUUCAGGAGUCAUUUGA